rnacentral:rRNA from 1 species
UACGAAGGGGGCUAGCGUUGCUCGGAAUCACUGGGCGUAAAGCGCACGUAGGCGGAUUGCUAGUCAGGGUGAAAUCCUGGAGCUCAACUCCAGAACUGCCUUUGAUAACUGGCGAUCUCGAGUCCGGGAGAGGUGAGUGGAACUGCGAGUGUAGAGGUGAAAUUCGUAGAUAUUCGCCAAGAACACCAGUGGCGGAAGGCGGCUCACUGGCCCGAUACUGACGCUGAGGCACGGAAA